CUAGUAAAUGGAUGACAAGCCAUUAACAUGGAAAGAAGAAGAGGCAUCCAAAGUGUUGGGUCCGCAUCGCCCUUGCCUUGGAGGAAGCUCCAAAUAGAGGGAAGGAUGGUUUCCAGCAGUCCCUCAAGUGACUUUCCUCCUUCGUGGGAUCCAGUUACACCCAGCAGACUUCAGUUUGAAUAAACAGAACUAGAUGAACACACCUAGGGAAUCUUUGAGGCCAGCCUCAGCUUUUAACAUCCAGCUACAGGGAGGCUCUCGCUCACCGGGAGAUUAACCCGCCAAGCUGCUGAGUGAGAAGGGACAGAGCAGGCCCUGACGGGAGGCCUGGGACGCAGGGGAAAUCAAAACAAGUCCACCUGCUUAAGGAGACUGCCGCACUGUGACCUCGUCCUCCGGACAUCUGUGGCAAGUGUUACCGCAGCCACUGAUGUGGCACUGGGCCAUUUACAGCGGCCUCAUGAUAUUCUUUUUCACGACUGUGUUUAUGCUGUUGUUUAACAACUUUGUAUAACAAUCUCUUUUCACUCCAAAUAAACCUUAGUGCCUGGAAGGCCAAGAGUAUCUUCA
rnacentral:antisense_RNA from 1 species